rnacentral:lncRNA from 1 species
UCCAAUUAAAAUAAGUAUAAAACUAAACUUGCAACUAGACUUAAACAACAUAAAAAUAUACGCAUGAUUAAGCUUAAAUGUACAUGAAAAUAGACCUUUAUUAGGGACCAAUUUUAUGUCUAUAUUAAAAAUUUAUUUAGAGAAUUUCAACUAAAACAACCUAACCUAUUGAAAGUCAACAAAAGAUAUGGUCUUCCUUCCCCACGCCUUGCAAUCUUGACAAAAUAAUGCCAUGUUCCCUACGCCAUGGAAAACAAUGCCAUUGUCCCUACGCCAUGGAAAACAAUGCCAUUUACUCUAUCAAGCAAAUGGAAAAAAAUGCCAUGGUCCCUACGCCAUUCUAUAGAAAAGCUUUGUCUUAUUCUUUAGAUGGCUUUCAUUCUUUGAUACCUCUUUCAUUCUUCAAUAUCAAAAAAGUCAAGAAAACCGUGUAGUCCCCACCCAUUUUAAACAAAGCUCUAGUUUUGUCCUAUCCAUGGCUUCUUCAUUUUAAUAAUUUUUUUUCUAUUUUUCCAUCCUAAAAACCAUGCCACCACCCGUAGCUUUUUAAACUUCUACAAAUAAACUGCAUCCAACAAUUCACAUACAGAAAAACAAACCCUUAAAGAAUUGAGACCCUUUACUUCCAUGGACCAAUUAUAAAGCAUGCAUUAUAUAUACCAUGUGCAAAAGUGAAGAGAAGAAAGAACAAGAUGCGUGAAUAAUAAUGAGAAGCCAACAAACAUAACAAAAAGGAGGUUUUAAGCUUUCUUGCAUCAUUUCAUGCAGAGAUUAAAAACAAUAGCACCCAUAUAAGAUGAACUUUUAAGCUUAUAUAAUAACAUACAUACGGAAACAAGUAGAAGAAAACAAAUAUAAUAACCUUUAAACCCUCGACAAACAACCUACAAACAAGGACAUACCAGAAUCAGCAAAAGUUUGAAGCUUUAAGCUUCCUUAAACUAACAAGAUUUCAAGUUUCAUACAAACCCUAUACCGAAACAAACAUGCAAAAAAAAAAAAAAGGACUAUUUUUCUUAAUCUUUCAUGGAAGAACAUGAAUAUCCAAAAAGUUCAGGAAGACAACCUUUCCUCCCUUUUCUUUUUUUUUUUUUUUGCUGGCAGCUUCCUCUUCUUUCUUCCUUAGGCAGCUUUCUACUCCUUUUUGGUAUAAUCCUCUCCUUUUCUUUUUUCUUUUUCCCUUCUCCUUCACCUCCUUUAUUCGGCUAGCUUUCUCUUCUUUUUUUUUUUUCCAGCAGUUUCUUUCUUUCCUUCCUUUCUUUUUUUUUUUUUUUUUUUAGCAUUGGGUCCCUUCUUCCCCUUCUUCUUCCAGCCUCUUCUCCUCUAACCCCUUCGGUAGACCCCUCUUUCUUUCUUUUCAAGAGUCAGCCCCUUAAAAAAAGAUCUUUUUCUUGGUGAAUAUAGACCCUUGGAUGAAAUCUCAUCCAAGGGUCAAAGUUUUUGUUUUUUUCUCCUUUUCAAGGAGCCACAUUUGGUCACUAGAUUAAAAUCAUUAAAACAUCCAAUGAUCUAUAUUAUUCAUUGCAAAAGUUGAAUUUUUAUAUUUUUCAAACUUAUGAAAAGAUCAUUUUAUUUAUAGUAUAAAGUUUUUAGUAUUUAAGUAAUUUUCUUAUAAAUUAAUAUUCUUAUGCUCAUUUUUAAGAUUUUAAAACAC